GACGAACGCUGGCGGCGUGCUUAACACAUGCAAGUCGAACGAAGUGGCGAACGGGUGAGUAACGCGUAAUCAACCUGCCCUUCAGAGGGGGACAACAGUUGGAACCGACUGCUAAUACCGCAUACUGAUGAAGGGGAUUGCGUCGGAUUAGCUAGUUGGCGGGGUAACGGCCCACCCAGGCGAUGAUCAGUAGGCGGGCUGGGGGGAGGAACGGCCACAAUGGGACUGGGACACGGCCCAGACUCCUACGGGAGGCAGCAGUGGGGAAACUUCCGCAAUGGACGGAAGUCUGACGGAGCAACGCCGCGUGAGUGAUGACGGCCUUCGGGUUGUAAAGCUCUGUUAAUCGGGACGCGGUACCGGAAUAGAAAGCCACGGCUAACUACGUGCCAGCCGCCGCGGUAAUUC
rnacentral:rRNA from 1 species